rnacentral:rRNA from 1 species
AUUUAAAAUCUGAUGGUCUUUGGCCAUCCGAGUUGUAAUCUAGAGAAGUGCUGCCCACACUGGACCAUGUAUAAGUCUUCUGGAAUGAAGCGUCACAGAGGGUGAGAAUCCCGUCUUUGACAUGGACUCCCAGUAUGUUGUGGUGUGCUCUCAAAGAGUCGAGUUGUUUGGGAAUGCAGCUCUAAAUGGGUGGUAACCUCCAUCUAAAGCUAAAUAUUGGCGAGAGACCGAUAGUGAACAAGUACCGUGAGGGAAAGAUGAAAAGAACUUUGGAAAGAGAGUUAAACAGUACGUGAAAUUGUUGAAAGGGAAACGCUUGAAGUCAGUUGCAUUGGUUGGGGAUCAACCUAGCUCUUUUGCUUGGUGUACUUCCUGUUUGAUGGGCCAACAUCAGUUUUGACUGCUGGAAAAGGGCGGAGGGAAUGUGGCACCUCUGGGUGUGUUAUAGCUCUCUGUCAUAUAUGGCAGUUGGGACUGAGGAAUGCAGCGCGCUACAAGGCCGGGUUUCGACCACGUUCGCGCUUUGGAUGUUGGCAUAAUGGCUUUAAUCGACCCGUCUUGAAACACGGACCAAGGAGUCUAACAUGCCUGCGAGUGUUUGGGUGGAAAACCCGAAUGCACAAUGAAAGUGAAAGUUGAGAUCCCUGUCAUGGGGAGCAUCGACGCCCGGACCUGAGCUUUUAGCGAUGGAUCUGCGGUAGAGCAUGCAUGUUGGGACCCGAAAGAUGGUGAACUAUGCCUGAAUAGGGCGAAGCCAGAGGAAACUCUGGUGGAGGCUCGUAGCGAUUCUGA